GGGGAUAUAGCUCAGUGGUAGAGCAAAAAAAAAAAAAAAAAAAGCAUUCGACUGCAGUUCGAGAGGUCCCUGGUUCAAAUCCGGGUGUCCCCU